GCUACGGGAGGCUGCAGUGAGGAAUAUUGGUCAAUGGACGCAAGUCUGAACCAGCCAUGCCGCGUGCAGGAAGACGGCUCUAUGAGUUGUAAACUGCGUUUGUACGAGGGUAAACGCAGAUACGCGUAUCUGUCUGAAAGUAUCGUACGAAUAAGGAUCGGCUAACUCCGUGCCAGCAGCCGCGGUAAGACGGAGGAUUCAAGAGUUAUACGGAGUUAUUGGGUUUAAAGGGUGCGUAGGCGGUCGGAUAAGGUAGAGGUGAAAUCCCGAGGCUCAACUUCGGAAUUGCCUCUGAUACUGUUCGGCUAGAGUGUAGUUGCGGUAGGCGGAAUGUAUGGUGUAGCGGUGAAAUGCUUAGAGAUCAUACAGAGCACCGAUUGCGAAGGCAGAUUACCAAGCUACUUCUGACGUUGAGGCACGAAAGCGUGGGGAGCAAACAGGAUUAGAUACCCCUGUAGUC
rnacentral:rRNA from 1 species